GAGGGUAUAACUCAAGCGGUACAGUGUGUGCUUAGAAUGCAUGAGGCCCUGGGUUCAAUCCCCAGUAACUCUG
rnacentral:tRNA from 1 species